rnacentral:rRNA from 1 species
CAAUAGCGUAUAUUAAAGCUGUUGCGGUUAAAAAGCUCGUAGUUGGAUUUCUGUCAAGGACAACUGGUCCGCCCUCCGGGUGAGCACAUAGUUUGGUCUUGACAUCUUGCUGGAAGCUGUUGCUGCACUUGGCCGUGUGGCGCAGUGUUCAGCACUUUCACUUUGAGGAAAUUGGAGUGUUUCAAGCAGGCACAUGCCUUUGGACACAGUAGCAUGGAAUAAUUAGAUUGGGCUUUUGCUCCAAUUUGUCGGUUUCUGGAGCUGAGGUGAGUAUUAAUGGGGAUUGUUGGGGGCAUCCGAAUUUAGCCGUCAGAGGUGAAAUUCUUGGAUCUGCUAAAGACGGACAACUGCGAAANCGNNNGCCCAGGAUGUUUUCAUNGA